ensembl:lncRNA
GCAAAAUAGUCAGUGCCAAUGAUGAAUCAAAACUCAGUUUUGAUAAUAAGGAACAGGUUUAUUCGAGACAGAGAUAGGUUCCCAUCCAGUUCCCUGCGAUGUUGAAGGAAAGAUAUUGUAUAAAAGGUAAUUGUAAAGACAUACAAAGAGGCAUGAAACCAUGAAACACUUAGAUAACCUUCUCUCACUUGUACUCCAAUUUGGAGACUUGAUUUACAUGUAAGUAUUUACCCUUUUUCCCAGACAAUGCUCACAUGCAGUUCCUCUUUAUUCUUUCAGAUAUACUACCUGCAGGAAGACCUUCAUGGAAGAAGUAUCAGUCCAAAAGGAAAAAUCUUUUCUUUCUUCCUCACCAGCUUCUUUGAGUUAUGAAGGGUUCGCUAAGAAAUAUUUGCUUCUGAUUCAGUUAUCUUUCCUUUUCAGCCCUGGAUAUUUUCCUGCAUCUCAUCUUCAACAGAAAACUGCCUGUCUGAAUGCUGCUUGUUGCUAAUUUACAGUUGUCACUCCUGAGUCUGCCCAGGAUUCCAUACUGCCUGGCUGGUCUUCAAUGCUCCUCUCACUUUGGAAGAAAGAUGAUGCCUCCCACCUCUCUGGUUGGUGCCAGGGCUUUUUGGCUGCAGGCUUCUCUGGGAGGCAAUUGUUCUCAGUUCGGGGCUGUUGAACAACACUCCUUAGGAAAAACUCCUCUCCUCUUUGCUCUCAGAGACCUGCACUCCUCUCAGAGUUGUAGCACAACUUCAAAAGGGAGGGUUAGGAAUGGAUAUCCUCCUCUAGGAUACUACAGCACACCAAAAGAGGUGAAUUUGAGUCACCUGAGACCAGAAAAUGUGUUGAAUACAGAUCUCCAACUUCCUGAGUAAAUGCUCUAACCACACAGCUCCUAUAUAACUGGUCAGUGUUUCC